GAAACACAAGCAUGGAUGUGCAUCUCUUUCAACUUUCCAUGGGCUAGAGUCAAAGGACAACAAUAAAUGGUGAUAUGAGAUCCCUUGCAGAGAGAAUCCCUGACAAGUUUGCAAAUCAACCUCCCCUUCUGCAACUAACAUCAGUAAAUUGCCAUAUCUCCUAAAAUGUAGUAGCUGCCAUUUUCUCAUAAUACUAAGUGGAGGGAAUUCUCUUAAAAACAACUGAGGAGGAGAGCAGACAGAGAAGACAGCUAUGAUCAGAGGCACCAUCACUGAUAGGACUCAGUCUGCAGGACAGCAUGAUCUGGCUCCACAAAUACAGAAUAAUC
ensembl:lncRNA